UUGAAUAUUAAUAGUUAUGUUCUUUAAAAUCAAAGAAUUUGGCGGUAUUUUAGUCUUGUUAGAGGAACCUGUUCUUUAAACGAUAAAACACGCAAUAUCUUACUUAUCUUUGUUAAAUAUACAGUUUGUAUACCGUCAUUAUUAAAUAAUUUUGAAAAAGUUAAUUAUUGGGGUUAAUAGUUUAAGUUAAAUAUAUUAGAUCAAGGUGCAGCUUAUAGAUAGGUAGUAAUGGGUUACAAUAAUAUUUAUUUAGAACGGACUAUAAACGGAAUCAUUUAUAGGUAAGGUGGAUGUAAUUGUAAAAAUAGUUUAAUAAGUUAUUUUGGUAUAAGCUCUAAAUUAUGUACAUAUCGCCCGUCACUUUCAUUUAAAAUGAAAUAAGUCGUAACAUA
rnacentral:rRNA from 1 species